GUGCCAGCAGCCGCGGUAAUACGGAGGGUGCGAGCGUUAAUCGGAAUUACUGGGCGUAAAGCGUACGCAGGCGGUUUGUUAAGCGAGAUGUGAAAGCCCCGGGCUCAACCUGGGAACUGCAUUUCGAACUGGCAAACUAGAGUGUGAUAGAGGGUGGUAGAAUUUCAGGUGUAGCGGUGAAAUGCGUAGAGAUCUGAAGGAAUACCGAUGGCGAAGGCAGCCACCUGGGUCAACACUGACGCUCAUGUACGAAAGCGUGGGGAGCAAACAGGAUUAGAUACCCUGGUAGUCCACGCCGUAAACGAUGUCUACUAGAAGCUCGGAGCCUCGGUUCUGUUUUUCAAAGCUAACGCAUUAAGUAGACCGCCUGGGGAGUACGGCCGCAAGGUUAAAACUCAAAUGAAUUGACGG
rnacentral:rRNA from 1 species